GAGUUUGAGUCCUGGCUCAGACUUGAACGCUGGCGGCAUGCUUUACACAUGCAAGUCGAACGGCGAGCGGGGGAGCUUGCUCCUGCCGGCGAGUGGCGAACGGGUGAGUAACACAUCGGAACGUGUCCUGUUGUGGGGGAGUAACUGGCCGAAAGGUCAGCUAAUACCGCAUGAGACCUGAGGGUGAAAGAGGGGGAUCGCAAGACCUCUCGCGACAGGAGCGGCCGAUGUCUGAUUAGCUAGUUGGCGGGGCAAAGGCCCACCAAGGCGACGAUCAGUAGCUGGUCUGAGAGGACGACCAGCCACAUUGGGACUGAGACACGGCCCAGACUCCUACGGGAGGCAGCAGUGGGGAAUUUUGGACAAUGGGGGAACCCUGAUCCAGCCAUGCCGCGUGCGGGAAGAAGGCCUUCGGGUUGUAAACCGCUUUUGUCAGGGACGAAAACGCCGGGCGAACACCCCGGCGCGCUGACGGUACCUGAAGAAUAAGCACCGGCUAACUACGUGCC
rnacentral:rRNA from 1 species